AGCAGUAGCCACGGGAAUACGUAGGUGGCAAGCGUUGUCCGGAAUUAUUGGGCGUAAAGGGCUCGCAGGCGGUUUCUUAAGUCUGAUGUGAAAGCCCCCGGCUCAACCGGGGAGGGUCAUUGGAAACUGGGAAACUUGAGUGCAGAAGAGGAGAGUGGAAUUCCACGUGUAGCGGUGAAAUGCGUAGAGAUGUGGAGGAACACCAGUGGCGAAGGCGACUCUCUGGUCUGCAACUGACGCUGAGGAGCGAAAGCGUGGGGAGCGAACAGGAUUAGAUACCCCGGUAGUCCCUGUCUCUUAUAA
rnacentral:rRNA from 1 species